UCACAUUUUUUAUUUUCUUACAAGAAUUCAGUUAAUAAAACAUCUAAUCCCAAAGUGAUUGGAAAGCAACACUUCACAAAACAAGACCAAAGUACACACCUUACAAAUUAUCUAAGCAAUACCAGUAAUAAACAAGGUUAUCAUUUUGUGCAAAAUUAUAUUAAAUUUGGCUCCAUGCUCCCGAGUGGUGUGACGUGGUUUAAAGUGACUGCGCUGCAUGCCAAUAAGAAGUCAGUAGUGGUUUCUAAGAUAGCUGCGCCGCCUUGUGGUACAUCGUGGUAUUACAUGAAUGCUGCGCCACCCUGUGGUACAUCGUAGUAUUACAUCUAACCUACCAGUGGGCAUUUCUCCAUUCCACUCAGUCAGUCAGUAAUCUCACAUUCCUUCUGUAUAAGUGGAUACUCACACAGUACACAAUACAAAUCGACGUAUGAAAAUAGUGUGCGACCAGUGUCAUCUACCUAUGAAAACAAUCCUACCAUUUAAAAAGAAGUGUGUUAUAUCAAAAACAUAGGAUACCAUAGUGCAUCAGAUUGUACAAGAUUUGCAUCCAUCAUUGUGUUCGUCCAGAACUCUCUGCCAGAAGCAAAGGAAUUACCCCACAGUAUACAGCACAGUGAAAAACACAUGUUUAAAGUCAGUCAGACAUUUAGAUUGGAGUUGGUGAUUAGAAACAAGCAGUCCACAGACGUCAUCAUAUGGCUAUAGAUGGUUAAACAUGCAGAAGAGAAAGGCAAGUCUUAUUGUACCUAACACACUGUGCAGUUGUUCCUCUUUAAAAGGUCUCAGUCAGUUGUUCCUCUUUAAAAGGUCUCAGUCAGUUGUUCCUCUUUAAAAGGUCUCAGUCAGUUGUUCCUCUUUAAAAGGUCUCAGUCAGUUGCUCCUCUUUAAAAGGUCUCAGUCAGUUGUUCCUCUUUAAAAGGUCUCAGUCAGUUGCUCCUCUUUAAAAGGUCUCAGUCAGUUGCUCCUCUUUAAAAGGUCUCAGUCAGUUGCUCCUCUUUAAAAGGUCUCAGUCAGUUGUUCCUCUUUAAAGGUCUCAGUCAGUUGUUCCUCUUUAAAAGGUCUCAGUCAGUUGUUCCUCUUUAAAAGGUCUCAGUCAGUUGUUCCUCUUUAAAAGGUCUCAGUCAGUUGUUCCUCUU